AACGAACGCUGGCGGCAUGCCUAACACAUGCAAGUCGAACGAGACCUUCGGGUCUAGUGGCGCACGGGUGCGUAACGCGUGGGAACCUGCCCUUAGGUUCGGAAUAACUCCCCGAAAGGGGUGCUAAUACCGGAUAAUGUCUUCGGACCAAAGAUUUAUCGCCUUUGGAUGGGCCCGCGUUGGAUUAGCUAGUUGGUAGGGUAAAAGCCUACCAAGGCGACGAUCCAUAGCUGGUCUGAGAGGAUGAUCAGCCACACUGGGACUGAGACACGGCCCAGACUCCUACGGGAGGCAGCAGUGGGGAAUAUUGGAAAAUGGGCGAAAGCCUGAUCCAGCAAUGCCGCGUGAGUGAUGAAGGCCUUAGGGUUGUAAAGCUCUUUUACCCGGGAUGAUAAUGACAGUACCGGGAGAAUAAGCUCCGGCUAACUACGUG
rnacentral:rRNA from 1 species